AUACGGAGGAUGCGAGCGUUAUCCGGAUUUAUUGGGUUUAAAGGGAGCGUAGGUGGAUGUUCAAGUCAGCUGUGAAAUGCCGUCGCUUAACGUCGGACUUGCAGUUGAAACUGGAUAUCUUGAGUGUACAAGAGGGAAGUGGAAUUCGUGGUGUAGCGGUGAAAUGCAUAGAUAUCACGAAGAACUCCGAUUGCGAAGGCAGCUUUCUUGGGUACAACUGACACUGAGGCUCGAAAGUGCGGGUAUCAAACAGGAUUAGAUACCCUGGUAGUCCGCACAGUAAACGAUGGAUACUCGCUGUCGGCGAUAGACAGUCGGCGGCCAAGCGAAAGCAUUAAGUAUCCCACCUGGGGAGUACGCCGGCAACGGUGAA
rnacentral:rRNA from 1 species